GGAGCGCUGGGCGGGGUCCCCUCUUAAGGAGAUGCGAAAGGGCGCCGGCCUGAGCCCCGCCUGCGUGCACGCCUUCUCCCCUGCGAGGCCCGUAGCACCAGUUUCUGGUGCAUCCCUUACCACAGACAUCACACCACAAGACCGAGGGGGGCAUCCUGAGUCACCGAAGGAGCUCCUCACAUCCUUUAUCGAAGCAUCUUUGUGGAGCAAUGAGUAAAAGGAUGUUCACACGUCAGUACCAGCACAACAGAAAUCCCCAGAGGUCCACGUUGCUGAGGAGCCCAGGCACUAGAUCCCCAGGCGAGCCAGGCAUCUGUGACCCAGGGCCAGGAUGGCCUCAGCCUCAGCUGGGUCCACUUUGAGGACAGUAACUUAUCAAAGGUAUCAGCAAAACCAGCAAACUGGGGAGAAACAGCACCAAAGACAGCAACAGACUCUGAUAUUUUGGGAGCUCAAGCAGAGGGGAAGGAAAAUGGCAAAUGCUCUGUGACAUCCUAAGUUCUCAAGCAACUCUCCACCAGCCCCAUUUCUCUCCCUGAAAGAACUGAGGAACACACUGAGUGGAACUCAAGUUACCUCAUGAGAGAGCUGAGAUCACAAGGCAGCUGAGUAACCUGAAUUCCAAUGGGAAACAAGCUCCUUAAAGGAGCGGUGGAGAACAUGAACUUUUCGACCUGUGCGAGAUUAGUGGAAAAACUGGUGACCACCAUACAAACAGGCUUCCAGAGGAUCCUCACAAAAAGACUGGAGACAGGCAAAAGCCUUAAAUCACUGAGGGGAGGGGCAGCAAACCUCUUACCAAAGACCCAUCGCAUCUAAGGGGAGUAGAAGCAAAAUCCACCUGCUUCUGGAGGAGAGGCAAGAAACCAUCUUGGAUCUUGAAUCUUACCAAUCAGAGUUCUGCUCCCACUGGUGGAGAGGCAAGAAACUCCUGCACAAGACCAACCUCAGAAACAAGACAGAGUUUGGUUGCCAUUGUCAGGAUGUGUAGACAUAUUGAGGAAGCUCCACCUCCAAGACUGUAUAGGGCCUGACAAAGAAUCAGGCUGGAACAGGACAGCAGAGAAUUCCCCCUGCAACAGCAUUCUACAGAUGGAUGAGGAGCAAGAGUGUGGGCAGAGACCGAAUGCUGGAGGAGGAGCAGAAACCAUCAGAGAAACCCUCCAGCACUCUGUCUCCCAUCCCAAGCACCAGGGAUUAGUAGCCCAACUGGUAAAAGAAUUUGAAGCCUGUGGUACACAAAAAGCAACAAAAGCAAAAACAAUACCCAAAUAGUCAGCUCAACUCCUGGCUGUAUUGACUCAACCCCACACUAGUGGUCUGACAGAAGAAGAAGUAUUCCCAUAUCUAGGAGUUAAUACUGUAUACCUUAGUCUCUACUGUCCUACAUAUGAUGUGUAGCAGUCGAUAAAAAAUUACCAGACUAGGGUAUGGCUUGGUGGCUUACUGGUUAAGUUCGUGGGCUCCACUUCAGUGGCCUGGGGUUUGCAGGGUCAGAUCCCACCGUUCAUCAAGCCAUGCUGUGGCAGGUGUCCCACAUAUAAAAUAGAGGAAGAUUGACACAGAUGUUAGCGCAGGGUGAAUCUUCCUCAAGCAAAAAGAGGAA
ensembl:lncRNA